AUACUGGUGGCACAGUGGUUGAGCACUUGGCUGCUAACCAAAUGGUCAGUAGUUCGAACCUACCCAGUGGC
rnacentral:tRNA from 1 species